CUGGCUGCCACUGGGGAAGGAUCUCUUUCUGGAGAUUCCUUCUUGGUGAAUCUUUCCCCUGCAAACCUGGAAUCUUCUGAUGGGGGGAUGGUAGAAGAUGGGAUGUUUUCAGCAGGAUGUCAGCAACCAACUGGAGGAGGUUGGAGAUUUACCAUAUGUUGCUUUUGUGUACAAGGAAUAUCUUCCAGCCCACCACCUCACAUGCAUCUCAUGAAAUCAGCUGUCCUGGGGCCAACUGAUUCAGGUCCUCAUCUUCCAUCUGUUGAAGAAUAUCAGAGCUGUAAAUGCUUAAAGAAGCAGGUACAUGGGGAAGUUUCUAUAUCCUCAGAAGUCUCUAUAACCCAGAAUAUUCCCACCAGAGUUGAUCAGCAGCAGAACUCCCUGUUACCAUCUUGCAGCAAAGCACUCACUCAGAAGGAAGAUGCCAUUAAUUUUGGAUGAAGAGAGCUCUGCAAAACCAUGUAGCUUGGGUUGUAUUGCUCUGGAUUGCUCCAGGCUGGGCAGAUGGACAUUACAAUAACUCUGAUACUACCUGCAGCUGUACACAGACUGGGUUAAGCACCUGCUGUCCUGUAGGGAUGCUUGAGGAACGUUAUGGCUUGUCCACACUGAAAAUAGAAUUACAGAAUCAUUAAGGUUGGGAAAGACCUCUAAGAUCAUCAAGUCCAACUGUCUGCCUGCCAUCAAUAUUGCCCACUGACCAUGUCCUUCUGUGCCACAUCUCCACAGUUCGUGAACACCUCCAGGGGCAGUGAUCCCAUCACCUCCCUGAGCAGCCUGUGCCCAACCACUCUUUUGCAGAAGUUUUUCCUUCUUAUCCUUAUCUCACCACCCAGGAAGAAUUGCCGAAAAGAUGUACAGUGAGAGACACUGCAUCUAAUGGAAAAUGAGGAGAAAUGGAGGACUAGAUCGGUUGAACACUGGAGCAGAGACCUAGAGAAUCUGUGGGACUCUCUGUCUUUGCUAAUACAGCCAGUCUUAAACCUGUGUUAAUUGCAAAGACGCCUGCUUUUCAGCAGAGUGUUGUGAAAACGUCCUGCCCAAAUCUGCAAAAAAGGGCAGAGACCAAACCCCGUUUGUUUUCUGUAUUUGCCACCUGAGAAAGCAUUGCAAAUAAAAGCUUUUUGUUAAAAAUCAUUUUCUGAAAAAAAAAAAAAAAAAAAAUAGUUUUCAGGGAAUUUUUAACACUCUUUGAAUUUGUGUAUUUUUAGAAUUUUAUCAGCCUUUUUUAAUUCCAGAUUGCUGCCUUGUGACAAAACAUUUUUUUUUUUGCCUCUAUGCUUCUGACUUUCAAGCAGAAAAUAGGAUUUUUCAUAAUUUUGGGCAAGAAUCGUGAUAAGAUUGAUGUAAAAAUAAGGUGGCAGAUGUGCUGAGCAGAGCAAUGAGGUCUGUUUGGAAACAGAGUUAACAUUUCAUAUUUCUUGGAUGAAAUGUUUUUGUUUUUUUUUUGUUUGUUUGUUUGUUUUUUGUACUUAUCAGGCAAUUGAGGGCAGGUGGAACCAGAGAGGUCUGAGCAUUAUUAGAAUGUUGAAUGCCAACAUAAAGACUGAUGAUUUUUUGGUUCUCUCCUUGGUGGUGUGCAAAGCAGUGCAGGUGAGCUUUGAGCGUUGCUCAGUGUGGGGGAUGCUGGGGGUCAGAGUGACAGCACUGGGGGCAGACUGCC